UACGGAGGGUGCAAGCGUUAUCCGGAUUCACUGGGCUUCAAGGGAGCGCAGGCGGAUUGGUAAGUCAGUGGUGAAAGGCUUAAGCUUAACUUGGGAACUGCCAUUGAUACUAUCAGUCUUGAAUGUUGUUGAGGUUUGCGGAAUGGGUCAUGUAGCGGUGAGAUGCAUAGAUAUGACCCGGAACACCUAUUGCGAAGGCAGCAGGCUAAACAAAUAUUGACGCUGAGGCUCGAAAGCGUGGGGAUCAAACAGG
rnacentral:rRNA from 1 species